AAUUAGGAUUCCAGUUGGUUAUAUAUUCUGUCUGCAAUCUUAUUGUUUUUUUGUUGGAAGUUAACCUGUGUCAUUCCCUCUAUACAAGUUCUGGUGCUGAUCUUGUUCUCGCCGCAACCUCCUGCCCGUCAUGAGCAGUUGUAGGCCUUGAUGUCCUUCAGCUCUUUCCUUGCUGAUGUGUGACAUUAGCGAGCAAUGGUCUUCAUCUAUGUCUCUGUGUUUUGGGUCAAGGAGGAGAGGCAAGCUGGAAACAGUAGAUGCACUAUAUACUUGGAAGCUGGAUGAGCCCUGGAUGACUGAGACAUGUCUUGGUCUCGCCAUCUAGCUAGCUGGUUCUCCUUUUUUGCUGAUUUCAUCAGUUGCUAUUGGGCAAGGAGGACGCAAGCUGGGACCAGUAGCUGCACUACUUGGAAUCUGGAGGACCCAAGGACAACUGAGACAAUGGGCAAGGGGGAGGUGACAUGCGAGGUAGGUCGGCAAGCGGCUCAGCAUUGUCGUGGUCACAGGCACCACCCUGAUUCAGCAGAUCGCACACAGUGGUGCUCAUAAGCGAAGGCGGGGGCUGGUGUUCCGUUCCGGCCUGGAGAUUUGCUUACAUCGUCACUUGGAUCCUUCAGCUCUGGGCAACUUGCUCUGAAUUCGUUUGUUGACAGGGGAACUAGCUGGGAUUUGAUAUUUUUUUCCUGGGUCAAGUGUUGUUGCAUUUUGCACGGUUUUGAUGUUUAAAGUUUUAAACCUUGGCUGGCUCGAUCUGUGAGGCGAUGUAUAUAUAUGUGAGAUGCCAGUCAAGUGCUCUGACCAAUUUGCUGUCGUGAGUCGGGAGUGAUG